GCGAACGUAUCACCCAAGACAACUUUGCGGAGUUGACGAUUGACGGAGCGAAGCGACGUCAAAGCGUAUACAAAGUCGAGUCGGUUUAAGGAUACGUUCGUUGGGUAGGGGAGCGUUCUGUAAGCCUGCGAAGGUGGCCUGUGAGGGUUGCUGGAGGUAUCAGAAGUGCGAAUGCUGACAUAAGUAACGAUAAAGCGGGUGAAAAGCCCGCUCGCCGGAAGACCAAGGGUUCCUGUCCAACGUUAAUCGGGGCAGG
rnacentral:rRNA from 1 species